rnacentral:snRNA from 1 species
GUGAGAACAGCGGCACAUAUACUAAAAUUGGAACGACACAGAGAAGAUUAGCAUGGCCCCAGCGCCAGGAUGACAUGCAAAUUCAUGAAGCGUUCCAUAUUUUU